GGUGGAACAGCAUGUGUGAGACCCCUGAGGCAGGCAGGGGACGGCCGACUGAGUGAGGAGAGGUCCGAGCAGCGUGGGAACGCGGACGUUUGCUGAAGGUGCGGAGGCUCCGUGAGGUCACCGAGGCCAGGUCACAGGAGCCCCUGGACCACGUGCAUCAUGUGGAUUUUGUCUGCGUGGUGGCGGCUGGUGGAGGGACACAAGCGGGUGACAUUCUGGCGAUGUUCCUGGGCUGUGAGGCUGUGGGGGUCGCCCCCUCUCCCCAAGGCCAGGCUGGCGGGGAGGCGGAGGUGAGCCCACGCGGGAGGCCAGCCUCCGAGAAGUGGGGCAGCCAGCCGGCCUGGAGCGCCGAGGUCAGAGAGCCGGGAACGGCGGUGUCCAGAUGCACGGUCGUGGAAGCCGCUCGCGGGGGGUGUCGCGGACUUUCCCGGAACGGGCUCCGUCCUGUCCUUUCCAAAAAAGCGAAAAAACUUACGCGAGCUGGAAACGAAAAGACCUUUCCUCUGGGACAGUGAGGACAGCGCACAGAGGCCCGGGAGGCGCCGGGGCGUGUGUUUGGGGGGCUAGACCAGACCUUUCCGUCCCUCUCUCCCUCCAUCCCCCCCCAUCAUAAAGCCGUUGACAUCAGAGGUCAAGGCCGGAGUGUCCGCUGAGCUCCGGGCCUGCUCGGACUCCGCCCCGAGGCUGCCCUUUCCUGUGGCCGCCUCCUCUCUUGCCCUGGGAGCCGCAGGACUGUCAGCCCCCCGCCCCGUGGACAGGCCUGCUGCUCUUACCAUCAUGAUGCCCACCUGUGUCUGACGGGGGAGGUGCUGCCCGGCCCUGCCUUUCUGGGGCCCGCCAUCACCCACAGACACAGCGAGACCACCAGCUCCUGGCCACAGAGAGGUCACUCGUGCCUUCACCAAAGGAGUGUCCCCGCGGGCACCCCCGGGUGGGCCCUGGGAUCUCAGGUGACAGCCCACAGCUCCUCUGGGCCUUCCUCUGCCCUGGGAGGGGUCUAGGGUGUGCAUCCUGGGGUGGGUCUUGGGGACAGGACGGCCGUGCUGGACAGGACGGCAGGCACCUGGGCGGGUGAUUCUGUGCUCACACACGAUGGUCACUGUGCACGCCUGGCCUUGGUGGCCCCGGGACCGUCACAGCCAUGUCGGAGGCUAACCCAGAAAGCCCUGGUUGGCUUAAACGCGUGGCUGACGCAUCCUGGCAGACUGGAGAUCAAGCCCGCGCUGUGGGAGCCACCGAAGGACUCUAAUGAGAGUGAUAGUCCAAAGUGGCUGCUUAGGGGAGGGUUCGAGGGUGGCCUAGAGUUUCCCGAGUUAAGGUGCCGCAGGACGUUUGAGCCACUCGGGUAGAGUGUCCCGCCAGUCUCCGUACAGCUCGGCCCAGGGUGUUUACGCACUAAGAGGGCUCGGGUGCCACCAAGUGGCCAUCCUGGGGACAUCAACGCCCGUCACCAUGGAGCCACCAGUGUCUUUUCCUUCUGUGGGAGCAAAUCUCUGCAUUUGAGUUCAAUCUUUGCGAUUUCAAAGUGAGGAAGCCCACGAGAUGUCUUGCUUAGCAGUGAGCUGACACUUUCCCCUUGGGUUUGAAACUACUCAUUCUGUGCGCGCGUCAGCUCCAGUCCUGCCGAUGCUUCUGGUAAGUCACUGAUUUCCUUCUUGCAUUAGGGUAACAGAGAGGGUGAGGCAUCCCUGUGCAGCGACACCAGAUCGUGAAACCCUGGAGGCCGAUCCGUCAUCGGUGUGACUGGUGACUCCACCCUUGAGGUCCCGGAGCCACAUGCCCCCUGAGGCCCCGGAAGACACAGCCCUGAGCUGCUCCCGAGCCUGGCGCUUAAGGCGGGAAACAGACUUCAAUUUUUUAAAAGAUAGGGACGGGCCACGGAAAGGACCACAACAGGGCUGUCUAUGGGAGUGUGGGUCGUGGGGACUGGUGUUCUGUGAUGUGGAAAACCUUAAAUUUCCUCACUGCGUCCAGCCCCUGGACAAGUCCCUGGGACAGGCAGAGUCACCGCCCUCUGGGAGCCCAGCUGCCUCGAUGAUGACACUUCGCUAAGGGCAAAAGGCGAUCUUAGCUUAACCUCAUCCCAACCUCCGGGAUCCUGUGAGUGUCCUUUAUCGUGUAAAGGACAGGAAGGAAACUUCCUUCACCUCUACCCCCCAAGAUACAAGGUAGCAAAUCAGACUCCAAGCGUAAAGUCCCCUGAUACGCAUCUGAAAGGUCUCAUGACUGAGGGUUUGCUAAACGGUAAUACGUGACCUUUUCCCAACAAUAGUGAGCCCUCUCGGGGCCCUGGAAACCUUGCUCCCAAAUCCCUUGGAGGCCUGUGCUGUUCCCAGCCCCUCCCGACUUGGCGGUGGGUAAGCAGUGGCUUCUCCCAGCUCUUCCUGCCCACGGACCUGCCCCCGUGCUUUAAUAAAGCACCAAAGAUGUCUCAAGAAUUCUUUCAUGAGACUUUUUGUCGCACAGGGUUUCGCGACUGUUUGCUCUGAACCCCAAUAUCUCCACAUCCAUCUGGAGUGGAACAGGUGUCCUUUGUCACAGCUCCCCACCCAAGCCCCGACCAGGCAGCUCAGCUGAAGGGUUUCUAAGGGAGCAGCUGACAAUUAGGCGGAAAGUGGGCAGUAGCAGAAUCUCCAAGGUGCCCCCCUGGCUAGUCGAGCAGAGCCGGGCUGUGAUUUGGAGGGGAAAAAAGGCUCCUUCCUAGGAGGAACCCGUGGAGAAUGAGACAAGCAGAGGCCACCGUGUGCUGGGAGCCUUGCCUGGGCUUGUACGCAAAUUAGGAAGGGUUUAGCAUGGUUUUAGGGAUGCCCCACUCUGGAUUUUAAAACCUGGAGUUUAAAAAAAUCUCCAGACAGCAAGGUCAGUUGGGUGUAUUUGUGCGAAUCUAUUUCUGGGUCCUUUGCUCUGUUCUACUGAUCUGUGUGUCUGUGCCUCUGCAAAUACCACAGUCUUGAUUGUUUGAGUUGUAUCAUAAGAUUUAAAAUUUGACAGACUGUUGCCAUUUUAUUAUUUUUUCUUAGUUACUUUAGAUACUCUAGUACUUUGCCUUCCCAUAUGUAUCUUAGAAUAAUCUUAACUAUGUCUACAAAACACCCUCCUAGGAUUUUGAUAGGAAUGGUACUAAAAAACGUAUAUCAACUUGAGGAGAAUUGACAUCUCUGCUAUGUUGAGCCUUUCAACUCAUAAACACAAGCUUCCUGCGCUCUGAUGAGUAAGAGAGUUGGGAGCAGGUGUCCUUGCCACGUUCCUGAGUAUUCACCAUCCAUUCAUCACUGAUGAGAGUCUUCAUCAUUGCCCGAGAGAAAGCACGAGCAGGUGAGGGGCAGAGAGAGAGGGAGACCCAGAAUCGGAAGCAGCUCCAGGCUCCGAGCUGUCAGCACAGAACCCGACGCGGGGCUCGAACUCACGAACCGAGAGAUCAUGACCUAAGCUGAAGUCGGACGCUCAACCGACUGAGCCCCCCAGGCGUCCCGAAAUAUAUUUUAAAAAAUCAAUUAAAAGUGCUUAUAUGCACAUGUCACCCUUAAUCUCUUAGCCAGUGAGUUUUUGAUAUUUCCUAAUAUGGAAAUGUCCUUCACUGUCUGGGUUAAAUCACGAUGUAUUGAAUUCAUUGUUGGAUUCAGCCUGCUAAUAAAUUAUUCACACAUUUGUCUUUGUUGCAAAAGGGAUGGUUGUCCUCUCCUUUCUUCUCUUGUGCCCUCAUCCCCCAGCUCUGUUAUAGGAGAAUCCAGCAAUUUCCCACCCAUCUAUGUCUACACCCUGGAACCACUGCAUGAUCCAGGAACCAUCUGAUGGCAGUGUGCUGGUUCAGAAGAUCUGGAACUGUUUCUUAUUUUCUAUGGUUAUUGUUCUUUUAAAGCUUUCUUGGUAAAAAUUAAACAUAGAGAUGUCACGCAACCCAGAAAUUCCACUUGUGGGUACUCACCUGAAGAAAAUGAAAACACUCAUUCCAAAAGAUACACGUACCCCACGAUCACGGCAGCACCAUUUACGAUGGCCAAGAUACGGCAGCCGCCCAAAUGUCCUCCAUAGACGAACGGAUAAAGAAGAUGGGUGUGUAUGCAACGGAAUUAUUCCCUGGCCACAAAAAGAGUGAAAUCUUGCCACUCGUGACAACGUGGAUGGACCUAGAGUGUACUAUGAUAACUGAAAGACAGAGAAAGACAAGGACCAUCUGAUUUCACUCAUAUGUGGAAUCUAAAAAACAAAACAAAUGAAGAAACAAACCGCGAAGCAAAACACGAAGUCAUAAAUACAGAGAACAAACUGGUGGGCCCCAGAGAGGGGGAGGCGGGAGGGAGUUGGGCAGAAGAGGGGAAGGGGGUUGAGCUGUGCCAACUUCCGGUUAUAAAAUAAAUAAGUCACGGGCUGGGAAGUACAGGUAAUACAGCCCAUAAUCCUGUAAUAACCCCGUGCCGUGACAGGUGGUGGUGAGCAUUCUGUAGGGUACAGCUGCUGGAUCACGACAGUGUACCCCUGAACCUAAUAGCAUUAUGUCAACUGUUCCUCAACUAAACAUUUUUUACAAAGUUUGUUCCAGUUUUCCUUUUAGCCAAUAUUGGUAAUCGAUCUUUUUCUAGAAAUGUUCCGUUCCAUCUAUAUUUUAAAAACUUAAGGGGCGCCUGGGUGGCUCAGUCGGUUAAGCGUCCCGACUUCGGCUCAGUUCGUGAUCUCGCGGUCCGUGGGUUCGAGCCCCGCGUCGGGCUCUGUGCUGACAGCUCGGAGCCUGGAGCCUGCUUCGGAUUCUGUGUCGCCCUCUCUCUGACCCUCCCCUGUUCACACUGUGUCUCUCUCUGUCUCAAAAAUAAAUAAACAUUAAAAAAUAAUAGUAAUAAAUAAAUAAAUGAAAACUUAAUAUCAUACAUAAAUUGUCAUGUAUAUAUAACAUUUAUAUAUAACUGGGCAUAUAUAUAAACAUGUGUAUAUAUUGUUAUAUGUAAACUUUGUUAUUUGAAAAUCCCUGUUUCUGUGGCUCUGUACGUUAAAGUCAGUGGAAAACAAGUUUCUUUCCACCUCUGCUGCCUUCGCCCAGACCACGACCCCGGGGGAAAUCUCUGUCGUAUCAUCCAGAACAGAGCCACACACUCACAGGCACGUGACGCUUGAAGCCCCAGGACUUCCCGGUGGUAGCGAUCGUCCUCAAGUUCCUGAAAGACGACCUGGAGGGUCACGGGCCGCACUUUUCAAAGAGAAUGCAAUUGGAUCGGAAAGUAACUUACUGAUGGUUUUCUGUCAAUAUUGACUAGGU